GAAAACUUAGAAACUACUGUUCGAUCGUAAAAUGGACGUAUGAGAUUCAUCCAUCUCACUAGUAAAAUUUUAACUCAUGAGUAAAUCUACAAGUAAAACUUUUACUCGUGAUGACGUGGACGAUUCUCAGACAUCCAUUUUUCGAUCCAACGGUAGUUCCUAGGUUUUC
rnacentral:pre_miRNA from 1 species